UCGGGAAUAUUGCGCAAUGGAGGAAACUCUGACGCAGUGACGCCGCGUAUAGGAAGAAGGUUUUCGGAUUGUAAACUAUUGUCAUUAGGGAAGAUAAAAGACUGUACCUAAGGAGGAAGCCCCGGCUAACUAUGUGCCAGCAGCCGCGGUAAUACAUAGGGGGCAAGCGUUAUCCGGAAUUAUUGGGUGUAAAGGGUGCGUAGACGGAAGAACAAGUUGGUUGUGAAAUCCCUCGGCUCAACUGAGGAACUGCAACCAAAACUAUUCUCCUUGAGUGUCGGAG
rnacentral:rRNA from 1 species